rnacentral:rRNA from 1 species
GAGUCCCCCUCACAUGGCGGCUGUCAGGUUAACGGUCCUAAGGUAGCAAAAUUCCUUGACAGGUAAGUUCCGUCCAGAUGAGCGGUGUAACGACUUCCUCACUGUCACUAGCUUGGUCUCUCAGAAAUUGAGUCAUCCUUGAUUACGAGGAAGCCAACGGCCAGACGAAAAGACCCUGAGCACCUUUCCU